rnacentral:rRNA from 1 species
AACGAACGCUGGCGGCAUGCCUAACACAUGCAAGUCGAACGAGACCUUCGGGUCUAGUGGCGCACGGGUGCGUAACGCGUGGGAACCUGCCCUUAGGUUCGGAAUAACUCCCCGAAAGGGGUGCUAAUACCGGAUAAUGUCUUCGGACCAAAGAUUUAUCGCCUUGGGUUGGGCCGUGUUGGAUUAGCUGGUUGGUAGGGUAAAAGCCUACCAAGGCGACGAUUCAUAGCUGGGCUGAGUGGAUGAUCAGCCACGCUGGGACUGAGACACGGCCCAGACUCCUACGGGAGGCAGCAGUGGGGAAUAUUGGACAAUGGGCGAAAGCCUGAUCCAGCAAUGCCGCGUGAGUGAUGAAGGCCGUAGGGUUGUAAAGCUCUUUUACCCGGGAUGAUAAUGACAGUACCGGGAGAAUAAGCUCCGGCUAACUCCGUG